ensembl:lncRNA
CACCCAUGAGGUUAAAAAGGUACUUCUCACUAAUGCAAACAGUUUGUUAAUGCCAUUUGCUGCGUGUAACGUUGUGAAAGAGUGAGAUGAAAUAGGAAGGAUCAAAGAAAGCACAGAUAGCAGCAGUGCGAGUGGAGUAACGUAACAGAUAACAACUGACAUCAAAGCGUGAGGAACUGGUGAGCUGCGGCAUCCCGACGCUGACACCAUCUCUUAAAAGGCAAAGGAGGUAUUGUGCAGGCCCCAAACCUUGGACAUAAUUCAGUUACAAUUACUCCUGAAGAUAAACACAUUCUCAUGCACCGUUGUGGGUUUAGCAGUUGAGCAUUCUCCCCAGAAAGCUGGAACCCUAAGAAGGAAAAUAUUUGUUGGCUUUAAUGAAGUAGCGUUCUCCCUUGGAACUGACUGCAGAGCACUGAUAGGCCUGUAUGCCUUCCUAGGGUACAAUUCAAUUUGCAAUAGAUGAAAAGCCAGAAGCCAAACAUGUGAGCCUUGUCAAGUUUGGGUGCUUCACCACAUCUGUCCUGGAGCUACUUCUCCAAAAAACAAUGGGAAGAAGGAAACGGCGUGCACAGGAAUACUGUGCCUGCAUACAGAUUUUGCAACUUUCUUUCAAGGUGCAGGGCUCCAUCACCAGUUCUUAACUUCAACAGCAAGGUGGGAAAGAAGAGUGACAGUACCUCUGAAGGAGAAAAUGCUGAGCGCUGAGCAGCUAGCUCCUAGCCCUUCCGCAAAGGAAGAUGCAACAGGAGCAAAUAUCUAACAAAGACAGAGUCACUGACACAAAUUCCCAGUGGCUGUAAGCAGUACCCCCUCCCUCAGUGUCCUCUGACUGAAGCUGGAUGCCAUUCUGGAAGGUGUAUCCGUACCCAAAAGCUCGGAUUCCACUGUGUGGAAGUCUAACCAACCUAUUCAGGCUCUGUGCAACAGGCAGUGGAGCAAGAGUGUCUGCACAGACAGCAGUUUUUCUCCUCCUACCUCAUGCACUUUUUUCCAGCUUGUAUACUGUUAUUUAUAUAUGUGUCUCUAGUUUUAGCUUCCUGUCACUGCAAUGCAGAGACCCCUCCAGCUCUGUAACACUAACCCCCAGCCUAACUGUAUUAAAACCCAUGCAUUAAACGUAACGCAGACAUCAAAUUUUGAGGAAGCAAGUUUAUAGCAAAUGCAAGGGAUGCGUACCC